rnacentral:lncRNA from 1 species
GACGAAAAAAAUAGGAUUACAAUAGUAGAAUAAUACAGAAAAACUGAAAUCAUAUAUGAAGAAGUAUUAUGGGACAAAAUGUUCACCUUGUUGACACUACACAUGAUCAUGCCGCCAGUCAAAUCCGUAUAUGAUGGAGUGUUAGUCACUUUCCAAUUAAGAAUGCGUGGCACAUUUGUGCCAACGCGAACAACUAGCUUCUUAUCAACCAUUGAGCAACACUCAAAAAACCAAACCUGUAAAGCAAGCGGCAAACCUCCAAGCCUAUACAUUGUCAUAUAAUCGCAUUGCAUGUCCCUCAUUGUCCUUAAAACUUCUUCAAAUGAAUUUUUUCCCCAAGGAAACAUCUUAUAUUGGCCACUUUCGAUGAUAUCAAAAUCAUCGUUGGUGA